rnacentral:lncRNA from 1 species
AGACCAAUCUCCUAUAGUAUUCAAUAUAACUAUUGCUAGUUUGUAGGGCAGACUAGAACCUCUUUUCUCAAGAUCACAAAGAAUGAUGUACAACUAUCAGAGGGCAUGUACCACCAUAUUCUGGCUAAGAGUUCCAGUGAUUUCUUUCUUCAGUGUUAGGAAUUAAACCUAGAGUCUCACAAACUCUAGGCAAGUGAUCUGGCACAAGCUGAAUCUACAAUUUCAAAAGUAUUUGUUCUGAACAGGAAGAAGACAGGAUGUUGCUUCUACUUUUCCAGCUUAACAUAGUCCUAAAAAUUAUAUCUGGAUCUUUGGUCAAUAAAGGGAAAUAAAAAACAUUGAAAUUCAAUAGGCAAAAGUUGUUUAUACAUGAUAUUAUCAUGUAUAUAAAUAACUCUAAUACACACACACACACACACACACACACACACACACACACAAACACAUUUGUUAGCCCUAAUGAAUUCAUCAAAGCUUCAGGUUGUAACAUCAACACAAAAUAUAAUGCAUUUUUAUGUGCUCAUAGGGAUCAAGC